GUGGGGAAUAUUGGACAAUGGGGGGAACCCUGAUCCAGCCAUGCCGCGUGUGUGAAGAAGGCCUUUUGGUUGUAAAGCACUUUAAGCGAGGAGGAGGCUACCGAGAUUAAUACUCUUGGAUAGUGGACGUUACUCGCAGAAUACGCACCGGCUAACUCUGUGCCAGCAGCCGCGGUAAUACAGAGGGUGCAAGCGUUAAUCGGAUUUACUGGGCGUAAAGCGCGCGUAAGUGGCCAAUUAAGUCAAAUGUGAAAUCCCCGAGCUUAACUUGGGAAUUGCAUUCGGUACUGGUUGGCUAGAGUAUGGGAGAGGAUGGUAGAAUUCCAGGUGUAGCGGUGAAAUGCGUAGAGAUCUGGAGGAAUACCGAUGGCGAAGGCAGCCAUCUGGCCUAAUACUGACACUGAGGUGCGAAAGCAUGGGGAGCAAACAGGAUUAGAUACCCUAGUAGUCC
rnacentral:rRNA from 1 species